rnacentral:rRNA from 1 species
AUUGAACGCUGGCGGCAGGCCUAACACAUGCAAGUCGAGCGAGUGGCGGACGGGUGAGUAAUGUCUGGGGAACUGCCCGAUAGAGGGGGAUAACUACUGGAAACGGUGGCUAAUACCGCAUACUAUCGGAUGAACCCAUAUGGGAUUAGCUAGUAGGUGGGGUAAAGGCUCACCUAGGCGACGAUCUCUAGCUGGUCUGAGAGGAUGACCAGCCACACUGGGACUGAGACACGGCCCAGACUCCUACGGGAGGCAGCAGUGGGGAAUAUUGCACAAUGGGCGCAAGCCUGACGCAGCCAUGCCGCGUGUAUGAAGAAGGCCUUCGGGUUGUAAAGUACUUUCGGUAGGGAGGCGUUAACUGCAGAAGAAGCACCGGCUAACUCCGUGCCAGCAGCCGCGGUAAUUC